AGACCCGAAACCCGGUGAUCUAGCCAUGGGCAGGUUGAAGGUUGGGUAACACUAACUGGAGGACCGAACCGACUAAUGUUGAAAAAUUAGCGGAUGACCUGUGGCUGGGGGUGAAAGGCCAAUCAAACCGGGAGAUAGCUGGUUCUCCCCGAAAGCUAUUUAGGUAGCGCCUCGUGAAUUCAUCUCCGGGGGUAGAGCACUGUUUCGGCUAGGGGGCCAUCCCGGCUUACCAACCCGAUGCAAACUGCGAAUACCGGAGAAUGUUAUCACGGGAGACACACGGCGGGUGCUAACGUCCGUCGUGAAGAGGGAAACAACCCAGACCGCCAGCUAAGGUCCCAAAGUCAUGGUUAAGUGGGAAACGAUGUGGGAAGGCCCAGACAGCCAGGAUGUUGGCUUAGAAGCAGCCAUCAUUUAAAGAAAGCGUAAUAGCUCACUGGUCGAGUCGGCCUGCGCGGAAGAUGUAACGGGGCUAAACCAUGCACCGAAGCUGCGGCAGCGAACGUAUCACUUAAAGCGAUUCAGCGGGUUACGAUUGACGGAGCGAAGCGACGUCAAAGCGUAUACAAAGUCGAGUCGGUUUAAGGAUACGUUCGUUGGGUAGGGGAGCGUUCUGUAAGCCUGCGAAGGUGGCCUGUGAGGGUUGCUGGAGGUAUCAGAAGUGCGAAUGCUGACAUAAGUAACGAUAAAGCGGGUGAAAAGCCCGCUCGCCGGAAGACCAAGGGUUCCUGUCCAACGUUAAUCGGGGCAGGGUGAGUCGACCCCUAAGGCGAGGCCGAAAGGCGUAGUCGAUGGGAAACGGGUUAAUAUUCCCGUACUUGGUGUUACUGCGAAGGGGGGACGGAGAAGGCUAUGUUGGCCGGGCGACGGUUGUCCCGGUUUAAGCGUGUAGGCUGGUUUUCCAGGCAAAUCCGGAAAAUCAAGGCUGAGGCGUGACGACGAGGCACUACGGUGCUGAAGCAACAAAUGCCCUGCUUCCAGGAAAAGCCUCUAAGCAUCAGGUAACACGAAAUCGUACCCCAAACCGACACAGGUGGUCAGGUAGAGAAUACCAAGGCGCUUGAGAGAACUCGGGUGAAGGAACUAGGCAAAAUGGUGCCGUAACUUCGGGAGAAGGCACGCUGACACGUAGGUGAAGUGAUUUACUCAUGGAGCUGAAGUCAGUCGAA
rnacentral:rRNA from 1 species